rnacentral:tRNA from 1 species
GGUCGACUAGCUCAGCUGGUUAGAGCGUGGUGCUAAUAACUUCCUUGUUAACGCCAAGGUCGUGAGUUCGAUCCUCGGCAAGUGCCC